GGUGGGUUCGGGUUGGGUUGAAAAUCAAUUUUUUUAAAAAUCACCCAACCCGAACCCGACCCGAACCCGACUCUAACCCGAAACCUAUAAACCCGAACCCGAACCCGUUCCAACCCGGACAACCCGCCAACCCGCCAACCCGAUUUUAUUUUUAAUUAUUCUUUUAUUUUUUUUAUCAGUCUCAAAAAAAUAAAAGCAUGAAUCUCAGUUGAUGGUAUCCAGGUAAUGCUUAGUUCCACUAACUUUAAUGUUUAGUUGAUGGUAUUCAGUUGAUGGUAUCCUUCUCACACGGUCACACCCAAUGCCAUUGUUAUUGGCUUAUUGCAGAAGAAGAUAUUUGAUGUUCUCUACAUGAUAGCAGACAUUCCUUUCUUGAAACCAUACUAGAUAAAAACCAUUGUAUGUUCUAUUAUCUAUAAGAUUUUCCUAUUUAUAUUCCUAUCUUAAAUCCAGAUUAGUCCUUUCACAUUUGAUGACCGGUUUUGGUCUUUUGGAGCAGGAUGUUAUUGACUAUUGAGAAGGUAGACUGGUAGAGAAACAACCUACCGUCACCAUUGGGCAUUGGAGUUCUGCUGUUCUGGUGUCCACGGUCGGUAGUGGUAUUUGCCACUGCUAAGUCUGAUUAUCUGAUAGUCAGGAUUCUCUUUGGUAGCAAAAAGAAACCUCAGAGACAAGUCUCAGCACCGUCUGCUUCCAAAACCAAGUCAGCCGAAACUGUGGGGAAUGAUUCUCCAGGCACUAAUGAAGAGAAAGAAGAGAAUGUAAAAGUUGAUGAUGCAUCUGCUCCUCGAGCUCGGAAAUCCAGAAGGAGACCUGAGGUAGCAAGCUCUUCAAAUUUUGUGAGAUGUUCACAGUUCAGAUAUGCGUUGCGUUGUUAGGCUUUCCAAUGGCGGCUGAAGCGCACAUUUGCCUCCUUCCAAUUAAAAGUUAGCUUUACAAUUUGUCCUUGAAUUUGUGGACUAGAAAUCUGUGUCUGUGGCUUAUAUAAUUUCUUGUAAUUUGCUUCUUUGAACAAUUAUUUUUAGAGUUAACAUAGCUUCUUGUAA